GUAGGGAAUAUUGGGCAAUGGAUGCAAGUCUGACCCAGCCAUCCCGCGUGCCGGAAGAAGGCCCUCAGGGUUGUAAACGGCUUUUGACGGUGAAGAAUCGACAGGAUGCGUCCUGUUUUGACGGUAGCCGUUGAAUAAGCACCGGCUAACUCCGUGCCAGCAGCCGCGGUAAUACGGAGGGUGCGAGCGUUGUCCGGAUGUAUUGGGUUUAAAGGGUGCGUAGGCUGGAAGGUCAGUCAGCGGUGAAAAGCUGUCGCUUAACGAUAGUCUUGCCGCAGAUAAUUCCUUUCUUGGAUGAGGAGGAGGCCACUGGAACGGAUGGUGUAGCGGUGAAAUGCAUAGAUAUCAUCCAGAACACCGAUUGCGAAGGCAGGUGGCUGUACCUUAAUCGACGCUGAUGCACGAAAGCAUGGGGAGCAAACAGGAUUAGAAACCCGUGUAGUCC
rnacentral:rRNA from 1 species